rnacentral:rRNA from 1 species
GACGAACGCUGGCGGCGUGCUUAACACAUGCAAGUCGAACGGAAAGGCCCUGCUUUUGUGGGGUGCUCGAGUGGCGAACGGGUGAGUAACACGUGAGUAACCUGCCCUUGACUUUGGGAUAACUUCAGGAAACUGGGGCUAAUACCGGAUAGGAGCUCCUGCUGCAUGGUGGGGGUUGGAAAGUUUCGGCGGUUGGGGAUGGACUCGCGGCUUAUCAGCUUGUUGGUGGGGUAGUGGCUUACCAAGGCAUUGACGGGUAGCCGGCCUGAGAGGGUGACCGGCCCCAAUGGGACUGAGAUGCGGCCCAGACGCCUACGGGAGGCAGCAGUGGGGAAUAGUGCAAAAUGGGCGGAAGGAUGAUGCAGCAACGCCGCGUGCGGGAUGACGGCCUUCGGGUUGUAAAGCGCUUUCGCCUGUGACGAAGCGUGAGUGACGGUAAUGGGUAAAGAAGCACCGGCUAACUACGUG